rnacentral:rRNA from 1 species
AUUCGAUUAGAGUUUGAUCAUGGCUCAGAACGUACGCUGCGCGGCACGCCUAACACAUGCAAGUCGAACGAAGUAGCAAUACCCCCUGGCAGACGGGUGAGUAACAUGUAGGUAUCUGCCCUUUGGCCUGGAAUAACACGAGGAAACUUGUGCUAAUACCGGAUAAGUCUUUACGGAGAAAGCUUUAUGCACCAAUGGAUGAGCCUGCACUUGAUUAGUUUGUUGGUAGGGUAAUGGCCUACCAAGACUGUGAUCAAUAGCUGAUUUGAGAGGAUGAUCAGCCACAUUGGGACUGAGACACGGCCCAAACUCCUACGGGAGGCAGCAGUGGGGAAUCUUGCACAAUGGAGGAAACUCUGAUGCAGCGAUGCCGCAUGAGUGAAGAAGGCCUUUGGGUUGUAAAGCUCUUUCGUCGGGGAAGAAAAUGACUGUACCCGAAUAAGAAGGUCCGGCUAACUUCGUGCCAGCAGCCGCGGUAAUACGAAGGGACCUAGCGUAGUUCGGAAUUACUGGGCUUAAAGAGUUCGUAGGUUGUUAAAAAAGUUGGUGGUGAAAUCCCAGAGCUUAACUCUGGAACUGCCAUCAAAACUUUUUAGCUAGAGUAUGAUAGAGGAAAGCAGAAUUUCUAGUGUAGAGGUGAAAUUCGUAGAUAUUAGAAAGAAUACCAAUUGCGAAGGCAGCUUUCUGGAUCAUUACUGACACUGAGGAACGAAAGCAUGGGUAGCGAAGAGGAUUAGAUACCCUCGUAGUCCAUGCCGUAAACGAUGUGUGUUAGACGUUGGAAAUUUAUUUUCAGUGUCGCAGCGAAAGCAAUAAACACACCGCCUGGGGAGUACGACCGCAAGGUUAAAACUCAAAUGAAUUGACGGGGACCCGCACAAGUAGUGGAGCAUGUGGUUUAAUUCGAAGAUACGCGCAGAACCUUACCAACACUUGGCAUGUUCGUCGCGACUUUAAGAGAUUAAAGUUUUCGGUUCGGCCGGACGAAACACAGGUGCUGCAUGGCUGUCGUCAGCUCGUGUCGUGAGAUGUUGGGUUAAGUCCCGCAACGAGCGCAACCCUCAUUUUUAGUUGCCAUCAUUAAGUUGGGCACUCUGAAAGAACUGCCAGUGAUAAGCUGGAGGAAGGUGGGGAUGACGUCAAGUCCUCAUGGCCCUUACGUGUUGGGCUACACACGUGCUACAAUGAUAUUUACAACAGGAAGCAAAACGGCGACGUUAAGCAAAUCCUUAAAAAAUAUCUCAGUUCGGAUUGCACUCUGCAACUCGAGUGCAUGAAGCUGGAAUUACUAGUAAUCGUGGAUCAGCGUGCCACGGUGAAUGCGUUCCCUGGGUCUUGUAGAC